UCCCCUGUGCCCUCUGGACUCUGGCCUCGCCCAGGGCCGAUUGGGUGUUGGGGGAGGACGGGCCUGGACAGCAAGAAUCUCCUCUGUGUGAGCAAGUCGCUGCCCUUCAGCCACAAGCCAGGGCCGGUGGUGGAGUCCGGCUGGCUCUAGGAUGUGCCCCCUCACUUCACGGAAGGUCCCCCCUCCAUGCCCACCUUGUAUGGCCCCAGUUCUGCAGCCAUGACUUUGGGGUGCACUGGUGAGGAGAUGGCCCAGGACAUCUGGGUCAAGCCUGAGGACCAAAGCUGCAGCCCCCUCUGCUCGGGAAAGGGAGUGAGAAGGGAUCUGCUGCCCUCCUGACACAGAACCCGAAGGUGCUGGCCAAAAGCCCCACCCUGAGUUUUGAAAAAGGAAAUUAAAAAAAAAACGUGGAA